rnacentral:lncRNA from 1 species
AGGACCCAGAGCUGAGUGGCCGGAAGCCGCGAGGACCGGUUUCUGAGACACCGUGCGGGAGAGGUCCUGGGGCAGAUGUCCUCAUUCAAUCAACUGAAGCACUGAAUAGAACAAGACCAGCUUCCCAGAGAAAGAAGGAAUCCUCCAGUAAAUGCCUUCAGACUUCAUCUGUACCAUUGGCUUUCCUGGGUCUCCAGAAUGCUGACCAACACUACAGAUUUUACCAGCUAUCAUAAUCAUGGCUACUAUUCAGCAAGAAACUGAGGUCUUCAGUCCAACAGCUCAUGAGGAACUGAACCCUGCCCAUAACCACUGAAUAAGAUCAAAAGCAGAUGUGGUCCCAUUUGAUAUUUGAGAGGACUGUGGCCCUGCCUAACACUCUGCAGCUCUUAAGAGUUCCUGAAGAAGGGAUUCAACUAUGCUGUGCCAGAUUAUUGAUCCAUAAAAGGUACACAAUGGAAGCUUCCAUGAGGGCACGUGGAGCAGAAGAGCAGCCAAUCUUCAAUGGGCACAUGUAUAAGUAAGCCGCCAAGAUGUAGAGACUAUUUGUUUAAAUCAGCAUACUCAACAACAGGGUUUUUCAACCUUGGAACUAAUAAUAUUUUUCCAGAUAAUUCUCUGUUAAAGGGGUUGUUCUGUAUAUUUUUGAUGUUUAUGAUAAGCUCUAGCCUCUAGCUACUAGAUGCCAGUGGCCCCAUCUACACAUUUCCCUGUCUCUCAAAAUGUCCCAAAGUGUUUCCAGACAUUGCCAUAUAUCCCAUGGGGAAUGAAGUCAUCCUUGGGUAAAAACCACUGUGCUAAUUUAUCCUGACUGGUAUGGUCAGUUUUCCCUCAUUCUCAAUGUCUGUAGUUCUCUUGGCACAAAUAAAUUCAUUUGUUUUGGCUGGUUUCUGAU